rnacentral:tRNA from 1 species
GCCGCCUUAGCUCAGGGGUAGAGCAGCUCACUCGUAAUGAGCAGGUCGUCGGUUCAAUUCCGACAGGCGGCUCCA